rnacentral:rRNA from 1 species
UACGAAGGGGGCUAGCGUUGUUCGGAAUUACUGGGCGUAAAGCGCACGUAGGCGGACAUUUAAGUCAGGGGUGAAAUCCCCGGGCUCAACCCGGGAACUGCGUCCGAUACUGGCAGGCUUGAAUCCGGGAGAGGGAUGUGGAAUUCCAGGUGUAGCGGUGAAAUGCGUAGAUAUCUGGAGGAACACCGGUGGCGAAGGCGGCAUCCUGGACCGGUAUUGACGCUGAGGUGCGAAAGCGUGGGGAGCAAACAGG